rnacentral:RNase_P_RNA from 1 species
GAGAGUAGGCGUUGGUGGUUGCGGAUUCCCUGAUAACAGAGAGUCUGAGGAAAGUCCGGGCUCCCGAAAGACAAAACUUGCUGGGUAACGCCCAGUGCGGGUGACCGUGAGGAUAGUGCCACAGAAACAUACCGCCUGUUUGUUGUUGGUUAUUGGUUAUUGGUUCUUUGUUGUUUGCAAGGAACUAUUAACAACGGAUGAAUAACAAAUUUGGUAAGGGUGCAAAGGUGCGGUAAGAGCGCACCAGCAGCAUCGAGAGGUGCUGGCUCGGUAAACCCCGGUUGGGAGCAAGGUCAAAGGAACUACGGUUAGUCUUUUACCAGUUCCGCUUCAUAGAGCCGCUUGAGGCGUUUGGUAACAAACGUCCCAGAUAGAUAACCGCCCUGCUGAGUCGCGAGAACGCGGCUAAGUGAGAACAGAACCCGGCUUAUGACUUACUCUCUCCC